rfam:Peptostreptococcaceae bacterium CCRI-22567 contig-4000010, whole genome shotgun sequence.
AGCUAUAGAGAGAAUGAAAAAUGGAUACUGGUACUCAUAUGGUACUGGAAGCAAAAAAGAAUAAAUUGAAUAAUUCUUCCAAGUGGUUUACAUUUGGACAAAAUAAGACCGUAGUUUAAAAACUGC